UACGAAGGGGGCUAGCGUUGCUCGGAAUCACUGGGCGUAAAGGGUGCGUAGGCGGGUCUUUAAGUCAGGGGUGAAAUCCUGGAGCUCAACUCCAGAACUGCCAUUGAUACUGAAGAUCUUGAGUUCGGGAGAGGUGAGUGGAACUGCGAGUGUAGAGGUGAAAUUCGUAGAUAUUCGGAAGAACACCAGUGGCGAAGGCGACUUACUGGACACAUAGUGACGCUGAGGUGCGAAAGCGUGGGGAGCAAACAGG
rnacentral:rRNA from 1 species